GGGAGGUAGUGACAAUAAAUAACAAUACGGGGUUCUUUCGGAUCUCGUAAUUGGAAUGAGUACAAUUUAAAUCUCUUAACGAGGAACAAUUGGAGGGCAAGUCUGGUGCCAGCAGCCGCGGUAAUUCCAGCUCCAAUAGCGUAUAUUAAAGUUGUUGCAGUUAAAAAGCUCGUAGUUGAACCUUAGGCCCGUGCGGGCGGUCCGUCCUCUGGGCGAGCACUGCUCCGUCGCGGGUCUCACCUUCUGGCGAGCGUGGAUGCCAUUUAUUUGGUGUCCGCGGGAACCAGGACCUUUACCUUGAAAAAAUUAGAGUGCUCAAAGCGGGCUCCGACGCUUGAAUACAUUAGCAUGGAAUAAUGAAAUAGGACGAUGGUUCUAUUUUGUUGGUUUCCGGGACGGUCGUAAUGAUUAAUAGGGAUAGUUGGG
rnacentral:rRNA from 1 species